rnacentral:misc_RNA from 1 species
CCCAACUAUCCCUAUUAAUCAUUACGUCAAUCCUAGAAACCAACAAAAUAGGAUCAACGUCCUAUUUCAUUAUUCCAUGCUAAUGUAUUCAAGCGCGAGCCUGCUUUAAACACUCUAAUUUUUUCAAAGUAACAGUCCUGAUUCCCCACCACACCAAAUUAAUGACAUGAUGGUUCGUCAGAAGGUAGGAAUCAGUAACACCAGUACGUACCGAAGGCACGACCAGCGUACUAAUCCCGAAAUUCAACUACGAGCUUUUUAACUGCAACAACUUUAAUAUACGCUAUUGGAGCUGGAAUUACCGCGGCUGCUGGCACCAGACUUGCCCUCCAA